GGGUCAGCAAGUUGGUCGUGCCACUGGUAUGCACUGGCUUUGCUGAUUCCUCCUUCUUGUAGAACCGUAAUGCCAUUUAGUUGGUGUUGCGGGGAAACAGGACUGUUACUUUGAAAAAAUUAGAGUGCUUAAAGCAGGCUAACGCUUGAAUACAUUAGCAUGGAAUAACGGAAUAGGACGCUUGAUUCUAUUUUGUUGGUUUCUAGGAUCAACGUA
rnacentral:rRNA from 1 species